CUAUCCGCCUGGGAACUACGAGCCUCAGCUUAAAACCCAAAGGACUUGGCGGUGCCCCAAACCCACCUAGAGGAGCCUGUUCUAUAAUCGAUACCCCCCGCUUAACCUCACCACUUCUUGCCAAAACCGCCUAUAUACCACCGUCGCCAGCCCACCCCGUGAGGGAAACGCAGUAGGCAAAAUGGCCCUCGCCAAAACGUCAGGUCAAGGUGUAGCAUAUGGAGUGGAAAGAAAUGGGCUACAUUUUCUGCCUCAGAACACCACGGAAGGUCACUAUGAAACCUGACCGGAAGGAGGAUUUAGUAGUAAAAAGAAAUAAGAGAGUUCUUUUUAACCCGGCCCUGGGGCG
rnacentral:rRNA from 1 species